UACGGAGGGUGCAAACGUUGCUCGGAAUCAUUGGGCGUAAAGCGCACGUAGGCGGCUUUGCAAGUCGGGUGUGAAAUCCCCAGGCCUAACCUGGGAACUGCAUUCGAGACUGCAUGGCUAGAGUAUCGGAGAGGGAAGUGGAAUUUCAGGUGUAGCGGUGAAAUGCGUAGAUAUCUGAAGGAACAUCAGUGGCGAAAGCGACUUCCUGGACGAAUACUGACGCUCAUGUGCGAAAGCGUGGGGAGCAAACAGG
rnacentral:rRNA from 1 species